GACGAACGCUGGCGGCGUGCUUAACACAUGCAAGUCGUACGGUAAGGCCCUUUCGGGGGUACACGAGUGGCGAACGGGUGAGUAACACGUGAGUAACCUGCCCACAACUUUGGGAUAACGCUAGGAAACUGGUGCUAAUACUGGAUAUGUGCUCCUGCUGCAUGGUGGGGGUUGGAAAGCUCCGGCGGUUGUGGAUGGACUCGCGGCCUAUCAGCUUGUUGGUGGGGUAGUGGCCUACCAAGGCGGCGACGGGUAGCCGGCCUGAGAGGGUGACCGGCCACAUUGGGACUGAGAUACGGCCCAGACUCCUACGGGAGGCAGCAGUGGGGAAUAUUGCCCAAUGGGCGCCAGCCUGAUGCAGCAACGCCGCGUGCGGGAUGACGGCCUUCGGGUUGUAAACCGCUUUCAGCAGGGACGAAGCUUUUUGUGACGGUACCUGCAGAAGAAGCACCGGCUAACUACGUG
rnacentral:rRNA from 1 species